UGCAGGACCCUGGAGGAAGCCAACCUGGGCCUGAGAAAGGAACUGAGAAAGGCUAAAACCAAGCCUCUCCAUGCAAAAUAUCAGACUGGAAGGCACAGUGAAGCAGCAAAGUAGUUGGAUUGAAGCCCUUCGGGGAGACGUGGAAGCCUCUGCCUCAAAAAGAGCAGAGGAGAUGCCUGCAACCAGUUUUACAGUGCCCUCAGACUGUGGCGGCCAUUUUGAGCAUUGGUGCUGGGUAUAAUAGGAAUGAAGAGGUGAAGAGGUGGAUGCUUGUCAGCUUGGAAGACUUGAUCACUAGCAGAGGAGGAGCACAGGCAGCUGCAGAGGAGCAGCACCAGCAGCAGAUGGAGAAAGAGCCUGAGGCAGCCAUGGAAGGAGAAAGAUGAAGGAGGACUGACCAAGCCCUGGGUGAUCUCUGGUCAAACAAGGUGCUCAUACCAAAGGUUCUUUCAGCUACUGAAAUAAUGUUAGUGCCAGUCCAACAAGGAGAUAACAAGUCAAAGUUCCUGCUUACAAGAGAGAAAAACUUCUGUGUUCAUCACAAUUCCAAGAAACAAAACUUGGCCAAGAUCAACUGAUUGGUUCAAAAGAAGUCUGGAACCUGAUUUUUACUGGGAGAUCAAUUUCUUCUUCUUCCUGUUCAUUCAGAUUUCCAUCACAGCCUGCAGUUCCCUGCCACUGGUGGUUGAGACUUGCUCUUUGGGGUCAAGAAGACUUGGAGAGGCUGAUUGCAUUCCUGCAGGAACCUGAGAGCCCUUGGGAAUACAAGCAAAGAGUUGGAAAAAUAAGUCCAGUGAAAUAUAAGAAUCAGCACAUCCAGUGACAGAAACCUCACCUUCUCACCCCAGAAACUGCUGAAUAACCGAGAGGAAGGUCUGGGAAGUUGAGUGGCACUCCCCAGAGAAGAGGAAGAUAAAUCAGUCCUGAGUGGGGGUGGCUGCUGCUGUCUCUUCUUCCUGAGCCUGUUUGUGUAGCCAGUUCCAUUCCUGAAGUUAUUCACUAGCUGGAAAUAAAAAGGUGAUUGGAAAUGAACA